UCCACUCCCUAUAUAUUGAGUAGGAGGCCAACACCCUCUCGCCACGGUCUCUUCUUCGUUGGCUUCGCCGUCUCCUCCAAAGUCCGACCUUCAAUCUACUACUUGACAUGGAUUCUCUCGUUCAUGCGCUCACUUGUAGCGCUGAUGAGUGGGCCAGUGAUAAGAAACAAGAUCAAUUGUCUGUACCAUCUGAGAUCCGUUUCAGGAGCUUUCUACUUGGUUGCUGUCAUUAAAUUAACUUUGACAUGCAAAAGCAUGAAGUUUUCUUUGAUCUGAUUGAAGAACAAUUCGAUGGUGAAGUAAGCGAGGCUCUCUUCUGGCGGUUGAUCCAAUCUUUGUGCUAAAUGCCAUAAGCAGCUGCUAUAGACAAAUACAAGUACUAAGAAGUGGUAACUGUUUUGCAGCAAGCAUAAGUGUUUUCACAGAAGACUACAUCUAACCUCAUGUCAGAACUGAAGCGCAGUAAUAUUAAAUUAAAUUAGCUGAUACCAUUUUAUGGCUUUUGUACCAAUUGCACUAUGAUAAAUGCUCAGUUCCUGUAUCUAAUUUUUUGGGUACGUUCUUAGUGUAAUCUUUUGAGAGAAUAUAUUCAUUCAUUCUUAGUGUUUGAACAAACGGAGGCUUGACAUGUAAUAAAAGCAAAUAUGCAUUCCAAUA